AGUGAAGUAUGAGUUAGUGGCGGACGGGUGAGUAACGCGUGGAAAACCUGCCGUAUACUGGGGGAUAACACUUAGAAAUAGGUGCUAAUACCGCAUAAGCGCACAGCUUCGCAUGAAGCAGUGUGAAAAACUGAGGUGGUAUACGAUGGUUCCGCGUCUGAUUAGCUAGUUGGUGGAGUAAAAGCCUACCAAGGCAACGAUCAGUAGCCGGCCUGAGAGGGUGAACGGCCACAUUGGGACUGAGACACGGCCCAAACUCCUACGGGAGGCAGCAGUGGGGAAUAUUGCACAAUGGGGGAAACCCUGAUGCAGCGACGCCGCGUGAGUGAAGAAGUAUUUCGGUAUGUAAAGCUCUAUCAGCAGGGAAGAAAUACUGACCAUAGGGUCAGCAGACGGUACUUGACUAAGAAGCCCCGGCUAACUACGUGCCAGCAGCCGCGGUAAUACGUAGGGGGCAAGCGUUAUCCGGAUUUACUGGGUGUAAAGGGAGCGUAGACGGCAGCGCAAGUCUGAAGUGAAAUGCCAGGGCUUAACCCUGGAACUGCUUUGGAAACUGUGCAGCUAGAGUGCAGGAGAGGUAAGUGGAAUUUCUAGUGUAGCGGUGAAAUGCGUAGAUAUUAGGAGGAACACCAGUGGCGAAGGCGGCUUACUGGACUGUAACUGACGUUGAGGCUCGAAAGCGUGGGGAGCAAACAGGAUUAGAUACCCUGGUAGUCCACGCUGUAAACGAUGAUUACUAGGUGUUGGGGGACCAAGGUUCUUCGGUGCCGUCGCAAACGCAAUAGUAAUCCACCUGGGGAGUACGUUCGCAAGAAUGAAACUCAAAGGAAUUGACGGGGACCCGCACAAGCGGUGGAGCAUGUGGUUUAAAUUCGAAGCACGCGAAGAACCUUACCUGGU
rnacentral:rRNA from 1 species